rnacentral:rRNA from 1 species
AUUGAACGCUGGCGGCAGGCCUAACACAUGCAAGUCGAACGAGUGGCGGACGGGUGAGUAAUGUCUGGGAAACUGCCUGAUGGCGGGGGAUAACUACUGGAAACGGUAGCUAAUACCGCAUACCAUCAGAUGUGCCCAGAUGGGAUUAGCUUGUUGGUGGGGUAACGGCUCACCAAGGCGACGAUCCCUAGCUGGUAUGAGAGGAUGACCAGCCAAACUGGAACUGAGACACGGUCCAGACUCCGACGGGAGGCAGCAGUGGGGAAUAUUGAACAAUGGGCGCAACCCUGAUGCAGCCAUGCCGCGUGUAUGAAGAAGGCCUUCGGGUUGUAAAGUACUUUCAGCGGAGAAGCGUUACCCGCAGAAGAAGCACCGGCUAACUCCGUGCCAGCAGCCGCGGUAAUUC